GGGUACGACCAUACUAGCACUAAUGCACCGGAUCCCAUCAGAACUCCGCAGUUAAGCGUACUUGGGCGAGAGCAAUACUAAGAUAGGUGAUCUCUUGGAAAGUGCUCGUGUUGCUAUUA
rfam:Citrus clementina cultivar Clemenules unplaced genomic scaffold scaffold_9, whole genome shotgun sequence.